rnacentral:misc_RNA from 1 species
AAUAGUGGUUUGUGGAUCCUCCUCCGUAUGACUUUUGAGGUUGUUGUUGUUGAUAAUGUGUGGUGUGAGUGUGUUGAAGAGGUGGUUGGAGAAUUCUUCAGCUUGUUCUUCGUUGCUUCUUUCCCAUGUGUUAUCUGCUUUUCUGAUUGCUGGGACGGGUAUUAUUGGCUUCCUUAUUUUUUUCGUGGCUUUCCAUAGUGAAUAGUUGGUGUUCUCGUGUGUGGAGAGUGUCCCUAUGAACUUUGCGAAUUCGUUAUCGUUGUGCUCCUUUAUUUUGUUUUUUAUUUUCUUUGCAAGUUUUUUGUUUAAGUGUUUUUUGUUUUCUCGGGUUCUGUAUUUUUGCCAUUUUGCUUUUGCUUUUCUUUUUUCUCUGAUUUUGUCGAGUAUUUCUUGCGGGAUUGUUAUUGUUUGUCUGCUGGUUGAUUCGGGUGUAGUGGUUGUCCUUGCUGCUUCUUGAAUAGUUGCUGUCAAUGUUGCUACUGCCUGUUCUAUGUGUUCAGGAGUUUUCAACGGGAUGUUGCAGUUUAUUUUGCUUUCUAUUAUUUUUUUGAAAGUUUGCCAUUUGGUGGUUUUAUUGCAUAGUGUUUCUGGUUUGCUAUAGUGUAUUGGUUUGUUUCUGUAUUCAAUUAUUAUGGGUGUAUGAUCGGAGCUGAACUCGAGGUUGGGUGUUAUUUUUAGUUUAUUUGUGUUUAGUCCCCUUGUAACUGCAAAGUCCAGAAGAUCUGGUUUUUUGUUCAGGUCAGUCGGCCAGUAUGUCGGUGAUCCUGUGGAUAAUAUAUUGAGGUUAUUGUUUCUAAUGUAUU